rnacentral:lncRNA from 1 species
UAUCUACUCAAUCAUCGAGCCAUAUGGACAGUGAUGGCACUGACUUAUCACUUGUGAGCAACAAAAGGAGGAAAGACGAUGAUUGCUAUUUGCCGGUCAUUCCUCCAUCCGACCGAAUACCAGACAUGGAAAUUCAUCCUAGUGAACCUCACUGGUUAAACGACUUCAGUGGGGUAAUGAAAAACGCUUACGGUCCCGUUACUGCUGCGAAAGCCAUCUACGAGGACAAAGCCGGUUACUUGAUCAUUAUCAGCUUGCCUUUUGUUGAUCUUCAAAGGGUAAAGGUCUCAUGGAGGAACACACUCACUCAUGGUAUUAUAAAACUAUCUUGUGUGAGCACAACGGGUAUGCCGUUCAUCAAACGACACAACCGGACUUUCAAGCUUACGGAUCCCGCUCCCGAGCAUUGCCCUCCCGGCGAAUUCGUUAGAGAAAUCCCAUUGUCAACUCGAAUCCCCGAAGACGCCGACAUAGAAGCAUAUCACGACGGGCCGGGUUCUGUUCUCGAGAUUAUGGUUCCGAAACUACGGAUGGUACCCGAAGAACAUGAAAUCCGGGUUUGUCUUCGGCCUAAACAUGUGGGGAAUGAUCUCAUGUUGACAUGAACUAUAAAAGGGUAGUUGGUAUGGUUGGUGCUGCAUUGUUUUUACUGACCUUUGUACGAUACAAUGUAAUCUAUGAAAACAAAAAUAUGGGUCUUCCGUUUUAUACUUUUACCAUUUUUGACUGUAAUUAGAAUUUGAUUUUUCGGACAUUUGAUUAUAUUAAACUUGUGUUUUGUAGUUUCAGACAUUUAUUGAAUUUUAAUGUAGAGGUAGAAAUUGUUGAAUUACUUGGUUGGUCCUUGUAUUAUAGAUCAAAGAACAAAUUAGUCCUUUUAGUGCAAAAAUAAUAUCGAACAGCAAAUUAAUUCCUCUAUUAUAAAAUAGAUAAUUUACUCUCCUUGCAUAAAGGGAUAAAGUAACAUUUAGUCUUUGAACUUGUUAAUUUUUCUCGAUUUAACCUGUAAAAAUUUUUUUGGUCGCACAUAUUUAAUUAGGACAAAAGAAAAAAGUGAAGCAUUAAAUUAAACAUUGAAAUUAAAUUUCAAAUAUUUAAUUUUGAUUAAAAAAAUUUAAGUAUCAAACUAAAAAAAUUUAGGUAUCAAAAAAUAUCAUUGGACACGUUAUUCGAAUAAAAAAUGCACGUAUUUAAUUAGGACAAAAGAAAAAAGUAAAACACUAAAUUGAACAUUGAAACUAAAUUUUAGAUAUUUAAUUUUGACUAAGAAAAACUUUUAAGUAUCAAACUAAAAAAACUUAUGUACCAAAGUGAGCAUUAAAGCAAAACUUAAAUACGAAAUUAAACAUUGAAACUAAACUCAAGUUCUAAAUAGUAUAUUAACCCAACUAAAAACUAAGAACACACAACAUCGUUAAAAAAUAAUUAUGAGUAAAUUGCACUCGAGAUCACUAAAUUAUUAAUAAGUUUACGUUUUAGUCACUAAAGCUUUAAAAAGUUUCAAAUUAAUCACUGAACUAUUAAAAAGUUUUCAUUUAAGUAAUUGGACUAUUCAAAAUUUUUUAUUUAAGUCGCUAAGCUAUUAAGUUUUUUUUUUAAUUUAGCUAGCGAGCUCCAAGCAAUGAUUCGAUGAUCGAUACGGUGGAGUAAUACCAAUUAGUGAGAAGAAGAACAUACUUAGAUCCAAUUUGAUUUGGCAGUUAGCCGAAGACUAGAGAAGAAAGUUAUUUGGGUUUUAGUUUCCAAAUCCGUGACAUUGAAAGCUCUUUUAUAAAAAAACAAAAUUGUAGAAGAGAAAGAAGAAAAAACUUUCAAUUAGUGUAAGCAAUGGGAAUAGAGAAAGCGAUACGAUAAUAAUUUUAACAGCCCAAUAAAUUAAAUAAAAACUUUCAAAUAAUUCAAUAAACAAUUUAUAACUUUUUGAAGUUUACUAAAUUUAGUGCCGCUAGAUGUAUUUUACCGAUAAACAAAACGGUGGAGGAUUGAGAAAAGUGGCGCAAAGGAAAAGUGCACCGUUACCGUUAAGUAACGGCGAUAAUCAAUAUGGGUGAUAUCCAGUGUAGGCUUUUACUAACGAUAUAAACCUCUGUAUAAUGAGACGGUGGCUUACCUUUCAAUUAUCUCUCUUCUCAUUAUCUCUCACUUUUUUUAUUUUCAUUUUCCUCUGUUUUCUCUUUACUGGCCACAAAACAAAGCAAGUAAAUGGAAGGAACAGAAGGGGGGGGAAAGCAUAUAAACGUAUCAUAAUAUAAAAAAGAAACUAAAAUUUAAAAAAAAAUAGUUGAAGAGAUAAAGGAAAGGGAAAAAAAAUGGUGGGUAAGGUUGGGGAUGAUGAUGAUUUAGUGGAGCUGAGCAUUAUAAUCGUUCAUGAAGGUCCUUCUUCAUCUCGAUUCCUCGAUGCUUAUCCCAUAAGGUAACCUUUAAAGAUCCCUUCAUUUCUCUUCUAGAAAAUUUGAAAUUUCUCUCUCUUUUUUUUUUUUUUUAAUUUUGCUUUGUCAAAGUUUGGUCUUCUUUCUUUUUAAUUCUUAAGAUGUAAUUUUUUUUAUGUAAAGCAAAAAUAAGAAUUGGGUUUUUUUGUUUUUUUUAUGGAAUUUAUGCUUUUGAUUCAGUUUCUGUAGAUUUUAGGGUUCUUUCUUUAGCAGCUUUUUAGGGGAAAUUUAUUGUGUUAGAAUUUAGGGUCAAAUUAUUUAUGUUUUACAAUUUGUUUGUUAUAUUGUUAAUAAGUUGGGGUUUAUUGAAUUUGAUUUUUUAAAAAAAUAAGUUGUUGAUUUCUGUGGGUUUUUCUGGGGAUUGUUGUUUUAUGUUUUUUUUAAUAAAAUUCUAGGGUUUUGAUUGAGGGGAAAAUCAUGUGGUGAUUGAUAAUUUAUUGAAUUUUUUGGGGGGGUUUUUGGGGUAAAUGGAAAAAUUCAAUCCACAAGCAGCAAUUAUUACAAUCUCCAAUUGCAUAAGCUGAAAUGGGAGCUUCUCUCCUUACAACUUUCUCAAUGGAGAAUCAUCAUCCUUCAACUCUUUUAUCUAUGGAUUCGAGCGCUCACGACGAGUUUGAUUUAGACAAGAAUCGGCAAUCUAUUCUGUCCCGGCCACCGGAUAUCAAUUUGCCAUUAUCUGCCGAGCGUAGCCCUCCACCACAGCAGCCAUGGAACUCCGAUCAGUGCGAUAUUCUAGAUGUUGGGCUGUGUUCACAAGCUUAUGAAACUGAGAGCUACCUUCCAGUCUCGAAAGCCGGACGGAAAUGCACUAAGCGGGUAGAUAGUAUAUGGGGUGCUUGGUUGUUCUUUAGCUUUUACUUCAAACCCGCUUUGAAAGAGAAAUCCAAGGCUAAGAUCGUUCGAGAUAGCAAUGGUGUUUCUGGUUUCGAUAAAUCGGAUCUUAAGUUGGAUGUUUUCAUGGUUCAACACGACAUGGAGAAUAUGUAUAUGUGGGUUUUCAAGGAGAAGCCCGAGAAUGCAUUAGGUAAAAUGCAACUUCGAAGCUACAUGAAUGGGCAUUCUCGCCAAGGGGAACGUCCUUUUCCUUUUAGUGUCGAUAAGGGAUUUAUCCGUUCCCAUAGGAUGCAACGGAAGCAUUAUAGAGGAUUGUCAAACCCUCAGUGUGUGCACGGGAUCGAACUUGUUCCAUCACCGAAUCUCAUGGCUCUCAGUGAAGAAGAUCGGAAGAAAUGGAUUGAGCUUACCGGAAGGGAUUUAAACUUCACGAUUCCACCCGAAGCUAGUGAUUUUAGUUCAUGGAGAAACCUCCCAAACACUGAUUUUGAGCUCGAGAGACCUCAGAUAAUAAAGAACAUACCACAUUCUCACUCGAGGAAACUGCUCAACGGGUCUGGACUCAAUUUAUCUACUCAAUCAUCAAGCCAUACGUACGGUGAUGGCACAGACUUAUCACUUGUGAGCAACAAGAGGAGGAAAGACGAUGAUUGCUUUUUGCCUGUCAUUCCUCCUCCUGACCGAAUCCCGGACAUGGAAAUUCAUCCUAGUGAACCACACUGGUUAAACGACUUCAGCGGGGUAAUGAAAAGCACUUACGGUCCCGUUACUGCUGCGAAAGCCAUCUACGAGGACGAAGCCGGUUACUUGAUCAUUAUCAGCUUGCCUUUUGUUGAUCUUCAAAGGGUAAAGGUCUCAUGGAGGAACACACUCACUCAUGGUAUUAUAAAACUAUCUUGUUUGAGCACAUCGGGUAUGCCGCUCAUCAAACGACACAACCGGACUUUCAAGCUUACAGAUCCC